CGCGCAAGCGACUUCUGGGUUCUCCUGGUCUUUCGGCCCAGGGAAAGGUUUUAGCGCUGCAUUGAGACGCUGCAGCGACAACACGGUGUUUUUCCUGAACCGUCUUAUUCACUUGUUACAAAUGUAAUGAAGAGGAUCAAGAAGCAUAUCACAAGGAAGACUAAUGUCGAUUCACACGUGCACAGAAGCCUCCCAGUUCAGCAUUUGACUGGCUAAAGGCCACAAGCAGGAAGGCAGCAGUUCCAGCUGUGGUUGACAUCGCUGGGACAUUUGGAGCCUGCAUUCAAUUAUCAUAUCAUGGUUGUCCUCCCUUUUAAAAUCACCAAGAGUGGCCAUCACCAUAUUCUUUGUUGUUGCUGCUAUUUUUGACAAUUAUCUAUGUGAAACAAAUUAUGGAAUGCGAGAUCUCCAGAACAAUACCGUUGCUAAGGAAAAGACAUCUGCUAGAUCACUGUUGGGAUUCUAGAUGGCCUAAGCCCAUUAGAAAUUGUUCCAGCCCCAGCAUCUCCAGAAAAAGUAUUUCCAAGCUCGCCAGAAAGAGUGGAGCAGCAACUGUAGCAUGGCUGGAGGAGGCAGGCAAGCCAGCCAUCUGUGGUGGCUGCCACUGCCACAGAGUAGGCCUAUGGACACCGUGUUUUCAGAAAAGACAAGGGAUGGGUAGCUGUUUUUUCUACCCAGAAAAAAGGAAGUUUCCCAAAGGAAUGGAAAAGGUGACAUGAAGCACCCUCACCAGUUUGUCUUCAGGUAAAGGCUUGUUUUUUGACUGGCUGUGCCUACCGUGGCAGUCAUUUUGUGAUCUGUUUGCAAUACAGUAUUCCAAAUGUUCGGAUGACUUUGAGCCAAAAUAACUUGUAGCCUAGAAAAGGUUGUUUCAAGACCAAAUGGAGAAAGAACAGGGAAAAUGCCAUUCGACAUUUUAAGCUGAACGGAAAAUAUAUUACUUUUUUCUCCUAAAAACCUACACAUUCCUCCCCAGUUUUACACAUCUGCAGCCUUUCAAAUUCCAUGGUCAAGAUUCAUGAAUAAGAGAACCUGGCUUUCUUAAUGGGAAAUAACUAUUGCCUUUCAGGGCACAAUUGCUGAAUAUUCUCACUGUAGAAUAUUGGUGUGAAUAAGAAGCUUCUGCAAUGAAGAUAUAAAUCCUGGAUAUGUGGGACCAGGGAUGAUUUGAUACACAUUUGAGAUGUUCCAUUUUAUGAUCUGAUUUCCAACUUUCAUUGCAGCUAUUUUGUGGAAUCCCUUGCAAAUUCCAAAAGAACCAGUUUUAGCUGAAUCCACACAGUCUCUCUUUAAAAGAAUAUUUUCCUACACUCCCGAAGUCCAUGAUUCUCACCAUUUAUUAGCCUCUGUUGCCACAGAGUAUUGCAACAUCACAUUUCCUUGGGCCAGGAUGGGAGUUGAACACAGCAAAUGUGUAUUUGGGAUGGGUGUGUUAUGGCAUCUUAGUUGCAUGUAAUGGUUGUAUUUUGGCUGAGUUUUCUUUAUUUUUGUAUAUUGUUGUUGACAGAUGCCCAGGGUUGUAUUGUAUAAGAUAGGCGGCCAUAUAAAUCUUUUAAACAAAUAGAUACCUAAAUACAUUUCCAUGAAAGACAGUUGAGCAAUGAUCUGCCUUUCAGAUGGGUGCCUACAGACUCCUAGGAAACCCAGCCCAUGAACAGGGCUGCAGCGUUUUAAGGAAACCACAAAUUUUCUUGUGGUCUCAAAUAUGCUGCAGCUAAGCCAGAAAUAUAUCAGCUUGGCUCUUACAUGCUGCUGACAUCAUGGCAGGUGGUCCAGAGCCGGUUUCAAACUGAUGCAGUCUUCCUGGGCAAGCACUUAGAAUUAAUUUCUCCACUAAAGCAACUCACAUGACUCCUACUGUGUUGGAAUUAUUUUAUCUAUUGAUUUGUGAACAAAACCAUGUUCCUAAGGCAGCUAAUUUUAACUGAGGAUGACUUAUUAAAAAUUAAAGCUAACUUGAUAAGACACAAUAGCUUUUAUCCAUAAUGUUAUGGAAGAAGUAAAAUUAAGAAGCUAUCCUGUUAUGGAAUAGAAAAACAGUUUCCCUUUUGAAAUAUUUCUCUGCAUUCUUUGAAGAUUUAAUGCAUCACACCCCCAUCCCUAUUGCCUAAAUAUCACUGAUAUUCAGCUGGCAUGUUCCUAGUGCGAGUAAAAUAGUUUCCAUAGGUUUUUCUAAUAAUUCCCUUGGUAACUGACAAGUACACAUGAUUUGGUAAAAGGGAGCUGAAGAUGUAGGCAAAGAUGCAGUUUGAGGUUCUAAAGAAAAGCAUACUCCUGCUCCUUGGUAUUUUCCUGCCUACUAAAAUAGGGCAAAUAGAGUUUUAGGAAACUGGAUUUGUGUUGCGUGGUUUAUUUAUUUAUUAUUUUAUUAGAUUAAUAUGCCAUUCCACUUGUAACCAACUCUCUGGGUUUCAGCUUUUAUUCUGGUGUUAAGUCUAACUGUUUUUUAAAAUUGUUUUCCACUGAACAUUUGUAGAAAAUGUCUUUAGUUUCUUAUUGGUUUACCCCUGAAAUUCAGCAGAACAAUUUUCGGGUCCUGCUUCCUUUACUCUGUGUAAACAAUGGUCAGCGGUCACACUUUGCCUGCAUUAAGAUCAAGCUUUCUGGAACAACUGAAACCUUGGAAGACAUUGAUGAUCUCGCCAAGCAAUGUGGAAGAGCAUCUGAGGUCCAGUGAGUC